GACGAACGCUGGCGGCGUGCUUAACACAUGCAAGUCGAACGGAAAGGCCCUGCUUUUGUGGGGUGCUCGAGUGGCGAACGGGUGAGUAACACGUGAGUAACCUGCCCUUGACUUUGGGAUAACUUCAGGAAACUGGGGCUAAUACCGGAUAGGAGCUCCUGCUGCAUGGUGGGGGUUGGAAAGUUUCGGCGGUUGGGGAUGGACUCGCGGCUUAUCAGCUUGUUAGUGGGGUAGUGGCUUACCAAGGCUUUGACGGGUAGCCGGCCUGAGAGGGUGACCGGCCAGCAUGGGGCAGUAAUGACGCACAGACGACAGCGGGCGGCAGCAGCGCGGAGUAUGGCAUAAUGGCCGGAGGCCUGAAGCAGCAUGCCGGCGGGCGGGAGGAGGGCCUUAGGGUAGUAAACCAAGAUCCCCUGGCAAGAAACGUGAAGGACGGUGGGGUGUAAAGAGGCACCGGCUAACUACAUG
rnacentral:rRNA from 1 species